rnacentral:rRNA from 1 species
AGCAGCCGCGGUAAUUCCAGCUCCAAUAGCGUAUAUUAAAGUUGUUGCAGUUAAAAAGCUCGUAGUUGAAUUUCGGGAUCAAGGAAUCGGUCAUGCCUUGGUAUGUACUGGUUUUAUUGGUUCUCACCUUCUAAAGAACCAUAAUGUCAUUUAUUUGAUGUUAUGGGGAAUUAGGACUGUUACCUUGAAAAAAUUAGAGUGUUUAAAGCAAGCUUACGCUUGAAUACAUUAGCAUGGAAUAAUGAAAUAGGACAUCAGAUUCUAUUUUGUUGGUUUCUAGGAUCGAUGUAAUGAUUAAUAGGGAUAGUUGGGGGCAUUAGUAUUCAAUUGUCAGAGGUGAAAUUCUUGGAUUUAUUGAAGACUAACUACUGCGAAAGCAUUUGCCAAGGAUGUUUUCAUUAAUCAAGAACGAAAGUUAGGGGAUCGAAGACGAUCAGAUACCGUCGUAGUCUUAACCAUAAACUAUGCCGACUAGGGAUCGGAUGAUGUUAAUUUUAUAAUGA